rnacentral:rRNA from 1 species
UGCAGUCGACGGUGAAAGAGGAGCUUGCUCCUCUGGAUCAGUGGCGAACGGGUGAGUAACACGUGAGUAACCUGCCCUUGACUCUGGGAUAAGCACUGGAAACGGUGUCUAAUACCGGAUACGAGCUUCAGUCGCAUGACUAGGAGCUGGAAAGAAUUUCGGUCAAGGAUGGACUCGCGGCCUAUCAGCUAGUUGGUGAGGUAAUGGCCCACCAAGGCGACGACGGGUAGCCGGCCUGAGAGGGUGACCGGCCACACUGGGACUGAGACACGGCCCAGACUCCUACGGGAGGCAGCAGUGGGGAAUAUUGCACAAUGGGCGCAAGCCUGAUGCAGCAACGCCGCGUGAGGGACGACGGCCCUCGGGUUGUAAACCUCUUUUAGUAGGGAAGAAGCGAAAGUGACGGUACCUGCAGAAAAAGCACCGGCUAACUACGUGCCAGCAGCCGCGGUAAUACGUAGGGUGCAAGCGUUAUCCGGAAUUAUUGGGCGUAAAGAGCUCGUAGGCGGUUUGUCGCGUCUGCUGUGAAAACUGGAGGCUCAACCUCCAGCCUGCAGUGGGUACGGGCAGACUAGAGUGCGGUAGGGGAGAUUGGAAUUCCUGGUGUAGCGGUGGAAUGCGCAGAUAUCAGGAGGAACACCGAUGGCGAAGGCAGAUCUCUGGGCCGUAACUGACGCUGAGGAGCGAAAGCAUGGGGAGC